CCGUGCAAGCCUCUGGGUUACACACCCGGGGACGCCGGGGCCCAGAGGCGUAGAUUAGCCCAGGCAGGAAAACCGAGCGUGGUGACUGGUCCUCCGCAGAUUAGAAACAGAUUGUUGGAGAAGGGGGGUCGGGGGCGAGACUGUGCACGGCAGCAUGGCUGGAGUCUGGGUGUGGGGCCCCGGCGAGCAGGCCGGGCGCGGAGGGGGCAGAAGAAGGAGUGCGGAUAAUGCUCUGUUUGUGAGCUGAGAUUCCAGCUCCUGGGGUGGCCCCUGGCAGCUGCCUAGGCCUCACAGGGAGAAAUCGGGAACAACAAAGGCGCUGGGACAAAAGCGGCUCUGGCCAGAGGGGCUUCGGGCUCUGUGGGGCCAACAGCACUUCAGUUCUGAGGGGCACGGCUCCACCCUGGUAUGAGGCUGGAGGCGGACUGUCAAAUGGAGCUGACUGAGGAAAGGGAACUCAAGUUUUCUGGGUUACUGACACCGAGUUGUCCCAAAUCACAUCAGUGCCUGUUGAAAUGUUACCUAUCGGCCAGCUGGGAAUUUUGUCACUGGGAAACCGGUAUAGCAAGCGCCCGUUAGCUUCCCGCCCAGGCAAGGACAUUGAGGGGUGUGAAGACCAAAGUAUGUCUUCAUGUCUUUGCUUCUGAGCUGACACUCGCGAAACUGUGGGACCCACAGCCCCUCAAAUCCCCCUUCUUCUGCCAGCUCCUCAUACCUGCUGAGCAAUCAUGAAAAUUCUCCCGCAGCCUGUACUCUAGCGCCCCCUGCUGGGAAUGACUGCUAACUCGUGGCUGAUUUGGCUGGGAAUCUGGCUGAUAGCAGCUAGGUUAACGUCGCCUCGCCCAGCUUUAUGAGGCCCACCUGGCCUUUCGCUCGGCCAACCUGUGAAUCCCAGGCUGCUGAAAUGGAGCAGGUGAACUUAACCACUACGCCGCUGGGCCAGCCUGGAAUCUGUGCUUUUAAGACUCUGAUGAUAAGCACGUUUGGCAAGAACUGAACUAGACACCUGGUCCACAGGCCUCUGUGUUCCAUAGUCUGGCCUCUCCAGGGGAGGAAGAGUCGGUUAGUUUAGCUCAAAACAGGGCUGGGAAUGGAAGACUACUGAACCCCAGAAGACGGAAGUCGGCAAGAAGCUAUGAAGGCAGAGAAGCGAUUUGAAUUCUGGCCUGGGGAAGAGCAUUGCAGUCUGAACCCUCCCGGGUGGGGCUCUCCUUGGCCAGCUCACAGCUGCCGGCAGAAGACCCCUUCUCGUGAUAAAAUAAGCGAAGAGUAAGUGUAUAUUUGUCUUCUGAGUUCUCAGCAAGAUCUGGAUGGAGCUGAUUCAGGGCUCCUCAUUAGGCCACCGAUGCAGCGCGGACCUGUUCUCCAUUUGAGUUGGCAGACCCUGAAGCCCCAUUAGCGGUAAUAUGCCCCCGCGGGACUCCAGGGAGAGGAAGAAUGCUGAAAGGACUGGAGUUUCUGGUCCAACUUUUUAAAGAAAGGAAGAGAAUGAAAGACCCAUAAAACUUGGAAAUCCUCUCUUCCCUUGGCUCAUUCACAUGGAAAUGCAAGCCUGAUGAUCAUGGACAGGGAAGUGAGGGCCCUAGGAGCGAGGAUCAGGGUGACCUCCAGCCCCUCUGCUCCGGCCGCAUGUGCCAGCAGGACUCACCUCCUGAGCCACCAGCGUGAAAUAGAAAGACUUUACGGUCACAUCUUUGGAUGCUUGGCAGGAAGAACCAUGAGUGUCCCAAUUACUAAACUAAUAAGCACUCAAGACCCCAAAGAACCCUUCCUGGUGCACGUACUCCCAAGUAUUAGGUGCUGGGAAAACAGCUCAUCAAGCACAAGAAGCCCCUUUGAUUGCUGUAUUCAUGAUAUGGAGCAGAAAAAGGACAGUAGUAAUGACAUUGGCUGUGGCUGUCAAAGGUUCCUCCAAGGGCUGCACAGGCUGGGUAUGAGGCUUGGGCCUGGUGGGUGUCAGGGUUAAAGCAGGGAAAGGAAGCUGUGUAUCCUGUUCCUUGAAACUUAAAGAAACAGGUACUGAAACAAGAUCGCUGUUUUGCAACCUGAUCUCUUGAUGACAGAUGUAGAGAGCAGCAUCACCUUUGCUAUAAUCACUCUGCUUAACCUGUACGCGCCUGCCCUGAGCACAGCAUGACAGUCAAUGCAUGGGGAAGUGCCAACCCUCAUUCCAGUGGCACAGCCUUCACCUCCAUUCAUUGGAUUCUCAGCCUGUCCUCAUGGCCACUCAGGGAGGCAGGCAGAGUGCUGUUAACCCUCCCAUCUUACAAACGAGGGAAUUGAGUCUCUGCAUGUAAAUGAUCUGACUAUGAUUAGCAGAGUUAAGAGUCAAACCCAGAACUUCUGAUCAACUCCAGUACUUUUUCCAGGAAUUCACCUUCUAGAGAGAUUUCAAGUUAACCUGUGUGAUUAGGAUUGGGAAGGGGCAUCAACUUUGGGACUGUGAAUAACCCUCAGUUUGAAGACAAGUUUUAUGACAUGGGCUUCCUGAAGAUCCACCAAUUACCAGACUUUAAGUGACCUGAGCUGAGGUUCUCAUCUCACGGGACAGCCGAAUAUUAAUAUCAUCAAAACAGAUGUAUGGCACCCUUCACAAAGUUGACUCCCCAUACAUGGUUUCACAUUCUGCUUUCUAGCUGGCAUCAGGUUCACAUUCCCUUUGUGGCUCACUUGCUCCUCCUUCCAUAGCUGCUGACCUCUUUCUUUUCUUUCCUUGGGUAUAUGCCCUUCUUGCUGCCCUCUCAGCCAUGCUGUUUGUUAUUGGAGGCCAGAAAAUCUGUGUCCAUCAGAGGAAAGAAAAUAAAGUCAUUCAAUGAAGCCUCAAAUAUGUGGGUGCCCUAUGAACACCAGAAGUUCUCAUCACGCCACAUAUUAUGUAUCUGGAGUGCACUUUACCCAUCAGAUCACGGUGGUGCUGUGGAGCUACACCAGCCGGCGAAUGACCUCGGCCUCCUAGAGUUCUGCCCAGGGGUUUGGAAGACAGAGAUUGCCUCGUUUUACAAGCGAGAGGUGAUUUUCCUAGUUACUCAGCCAGUCAGUGGCAAAACAGAGGCUCAUUUCUACUGGUGUUAUUCUCUUUUUUCCUAUAAUUUGUAACAGUGAAAGAUUGAGAGGAAUACCCGGGACCAUUUUAGAUGGGAAAAUCAAUCAUUACAAGUUCCACACUGCCUUCCCACAUAGUUUUUCUGAAGGACCUAAGGGUGAGCCAAAAGGGUCUUGCUGAGAGGUGCUUGAGGGGAAGAUCUUAAAGAAAAAGAUCAAUCUGUCCUUUCCUUCUAGACUGUCUUAGUCUUUCCCUACAUUCCUUAAAGGUAUGAGUAGGAAGUGGGGAACGAGGUCCCAUAAUCCUCAAUGCAAAAGGACUGUAAUUACCUCACCUGGAUCUGAGACCUGAGAACAUUAGAACUAGCCAUGUAGGGUGCCUCAGGCGGAGGCUUUUUUGCAAUCUUAAACUUGAAUCCCAGAUUACAAAACACGAUGACUACUCCAUAAAAGGCCUGUAAAUAACACUUCUCCCCAAAGACAAAUUUGCUGUGAAGCAUUGUGUCUUUGUCCACAGCUGAGCAGCCUAAAGGACUCACCAACCUGGGUUUUCCCUGACAGUGACAUUAUUUUGCAACUUCAAAAGCUGUGACUCAUUCUGGCAAAGGUUUGCUUUAUAUUGUGAGUUAAUUUAUGCAGAAAGUAUUAUAAAGGUGUAAAAAUAAAAGUGCAUGUGAUCAUGCACUUAGCUAAACACAGUUAUGAAAAAGAAUAAAUACAUGAAAUUAAGACUGCCCCUAGUAAUGUUUUUCAUGGAAAGAAUCAUGAGUUGCUAGUUUGUUUUUUUAAGUUUAUUAAAUUUUAGAUAUGUUUGGUUACUUUCUUUUUAUUUUUU